rnacentral:rRNA from 1 species
UACGUAGGGUGCGAGCGUUGUCCGGAAUUAUUGGGCGUAAAGAGCUCGUAGGCGGUGUGUCACGUCGGCCGUGAAAACUUGCAGCUUAACUGUGGGCGUGCGGUCGAUACGGGCAUCACUGGAGUUCGGCAGGGGAGACUGGAAUUCCUGGUGUAGCGGUGAAAUGCGCAGAUAUCAGGAGGAACACCGAUGGCGAAGGCAGGUCUCUGGGCAUUAACUGACGCUGAGGAGCGAAAGCAUGGGGAGCGAACAGG